GAGAUGAGCUCCUGUUAGAGGUAGAGAAUCUUAAGGAAAACAGUUCUGGCCCCCAUCCUGAGGAUCUGCACCUCUUUUCCUCUCAUUUUGCUGGGACCAGGUGAAGCCAUGCUAAGAAGAGAUUCUUGCUUUAGAUCAAAAGUAUGCUAAAUUUGACAGGAUGAUUUUACAUGGGGUAACAUAUCUUCAAAAAUGAGGAAGAACAGAACGAUUUAUAACAACUCGUUGGAAUAAGUUGUGAUUUCUUGAGAUAUAUGCCAACACACAAGACAUG